AUUGAACGCUGGCGGCAGGCCUAACACAUGCAAGUCGAGCGGAUGAAGGGAGCUUGCUCCUGGAUUCAGCGGAGGACGGGUGAGUAAUGCCUAGGAAUCUGCCUGGUAGUGGGGGAUAACGUCCGGAAACGGGCGCUAAUACCGCAUACGUCCUGAGGGAGAAAGUGGGGGAUCUUCGGACCGCACGCUAUCAGAUGAGCCUAGGUCGGAUUAGCUAGUUGGUGGGGUAAAGGCCUACCAAGGCGACGAUCCGUAACUGGUCUGAGAGGAUGAUCAGUCACACUGGAACUGAGACACGGUCCAGACUCCUACGGGAGGCAGCAGUGGGGAAUAUUGGACAAUGGGCGAAAGCCUGAUCCAGCCAUGCCGCGUGUGUGAAGAAGGUCUUCGGAUUGUAAAGCACUUUAAGUUGGGAGGAAGGGCAGUAAGUUAAUACCUUGCUGUUUUGACGUUACCAACAGAAUAAGCACCGGCUAACUUCGUG
rnacentral:rRNA from 1 species